GAUGAACGCUGGCGGCGUGCCUAAUACAUGCAAGUCGAGCGAACGGACGAGCAGCUUGCUUCUCUGAUGUUAGCGGCGGACGGGUGAGUAACACGUGGAGAACCUACCUAUAAGACUGGGAUAACUUCGGGAAACCGGAGCUAAUACCGGAUAAUAUUUUGAACCGCAUGGUUCAAAAGUGAAAGACGGUCUUGCGGUCACUUAUCGAUGGAUCAGGGCUGCAUUGGCUAGUUGGUAAGGUAACGGCUUACCAAGGGAACGAUGCAUAGCCGACCUGGAAGGGGAAUCGGCACAACUGGACCGGGGAACCGGUCCGGACUCCUACGGGAGGCAGCGGUGGGGAAUCUGCCGCAAUGGGCGAAAGCCUGACGGAGCAACGCCGGGGGAGUGAGGAAGGUCUUCGGUUCGUAAGACUCUGUUAUUAGGGAAGAGCAUAUGUGUAAGUAACUGUGCACAUCUGGACGGUACCUAAGCAGAAAGCCACGGCUAACUACGU
rnacentral:rRNA from 1 species